rfam:Clostridiaceae bacterium BRH_c20a BRHa_1001610, whole genome shotgun sequence.
GGAAUCCCACUGAGAAAGAUUUAGCAAAUCACUCAUAGCGAGUCUUGGACAUUGCCGGGUAACUUGUAAUGUUAAGCGUAGACAGCAAGGUAGUAGGCCGAAAGCGCAAGCUGAAGGGAUAGAGCCUCGAAAUCUCGUAGGGAAGGUUGAUACUUUGGACGGAGUAGAAAACAACACUAAUAUAUUCGCUAAGCGAGAAUAUAUUAGCUUCCCCGGGGUCGGUGACCU